GACGGAGGAGGCAAGCGUUAUCCGGAAUUAUUGGGCGUAAAGGGUCCGCAGGUGGUCGUUCAAGUCUGCUGUCAAAGGUCAAGGCUUAACCUUGGACAGGCAGUGGAAACUGGAUGACUAGAGAAUGGUAGGGGCAGAGGGAAUUCCCGGUGUAGCGGUGAAAUGCGUAGAUAUCGGGAAGAACACCAGUGGCGAAAGCGCUCUGCUGGGCCAAUUCUGACACUGAGGGACGAAAGCUAGGGGAGCGAAAGGG
rnacentral:rRNA from 1 species